CUGACACAGAAGGUAAUUGGUAAAUGUUAAUUUCUGUCACUAAUAUAGGGUAGUCAUGACUUUUCUAUCAAAGAUAACUUUGUUCAUUGGUAAGAAGACACUCACUCUAGAGGUAUUUUUUCCCAUGACUUUUAUCCUCCUAAGGAGUCUAGGGUAAUUGUGUUUCAAUAUGACUAAUAACCCUAUCACUAGACACUAAAACCAGAAGCAUAUUCCUAUUAGGAAGAUUUUACCCAGAAAUAUACAUUCCUAACAGAAUGGAAAGUGAUAGCGAGUACUGCCAGCUUACAACAUUCCUUUUGCAUACACUGUCUGUUUUCUAUUACAGGUGGAAUCCAUUUUAAUGAAUACCAUUUUAAACAUCUGUUUCUACACAGUGAGGCUAUUUUUGUGUUCUAACAGAUGGGCUACAGGAACCUUGCUUUGUUGACUUGGCUAAAACAAAUUCUAAAAAAUGAAAAUUCUUUCUUCACAAAUACUGUCCCUGCAGAAAUAAGUUUUUUAAAUAAAAGACUGUGAGCUCAGAGCACUAGGACGAAGAAUGAUUCAACUUCCUAUGUCCAAUAACUAGCACAGAGCUUAAUACUCAUGGAUGCUUAAUAAAUGCUCAUUGAAUUUAACACCUAUGAAGAAGUAUUCCUGUGCUUGAAUUGAGCAUUCUUACCUAAUUUGGGUGCUCCCUGAGACCAAGAACUAUGUUUCAUUUCCUUGGGAUUUGGCACAAAGACUCUUAGUACCACAUGUUGGUUGAAAAAAAUUAAAUUACUAUGCCAAAGUUAAUAUGCAAAGUCAAACUGACCUUUGUUUCACGACUUGGAUGCACAUAUAAAUCUACUACAUGCUGCUGAAUUAAAUGCUAAUAGUAAGUGACUCAACUACAGUGUGUCCUGGGGAAACUCAGCCUAAAGCUCUUCACUGUAGCCACUGCCUAGAAGGAAGGGCAAAGGCGAAAUUCUCCAAGACGAAGACUUGACACACCACCGGGUUUGGCGAGCUGCGGAAACAGGUUACCUCAAAAAAACCUGAGUCUGGAUCUGGGACUGUGGCAAUUGACUUGAAGGAGACCGCUGGGAGCACAGUGGAGGGCUUGGUCCCCUUCCGUCAAGUUACAUCCAACUAAAGCCUGGCGCCAACUUCAGCUAACCAUUCCAAAAGAGGCGACAGCUUCUGACCCCCGAGCCCCAGGCUUCCUGCCUUCAAGUCCCGGCUUUCCAGAGACUCUGGCUUCCAGGCCUGGCCUGGCUUCGGGCGCGAGGCUCUGGCUUCCAGCCAGUAGCAGAGGCACCGCCCAGUUGCGAAAGCUCUGGGCACGCCCGUCACCUCUAGGCUCAUGAGUUGGCCUGGUUGGUCUUCCCACUCCUCACUCGUCCUCAGUCCUCACUCUCCAUUACUGCCACCUAGCAAGCUUCGAACGUACUAGGGGGAAAAAUGGCCCCCGCUCUUUUUGCUCCUAUGGGGGUUGGUGGCCUACGUGGAGUCUCCUAUUUGCAGGUCUGAGUUAGCAACAUGGCACCAAUUUUCACUCGUUUUCUCUUGCUCCCAUUCCUUGGCAUCCACUGGGCUUUGGGGAUUUGGAGUCAAUGGCAUUCCUCUCUCUGAUCUAGAGUCACUUGAAGAGUCUGUGCUCUAGUUGACGCCUGCGGCUUGCAAUAAAGGAUCCCUUGUACUGAUUGUAAGGGAAAGGCUCAAAUCUUUUUAAAAGGAGAAAGUGUUAAGUCUAAAACUAAGAAAAGUUGCCUUAUUCUCACCCUUCCAAAAUGGUCUUUGGAAUAAUGACAUAAUCCUCAUUCCCCACUUCCUUAUAUCUGAACACUUUCUGGAAAGAAACUUAUUUCCC
rnacentral:lncRNA from 1 species